rnacentral:rRNA from 1 species
AGAGUUUGAUCCUGGCUCAGAUUGAACGCUAGCGGCAUGCUUAACACAUGCAAGUCGAACGGUAACAGGCGGAGCUUGCUCUGCGCUGACGAGUGGCGGACGGGUGAGUAAUGCUUAGGAAUCUGCCCAGUAGCGGGGGACAACUCGGAGAAAUCCGAGCUAAUACCGCAUACGCCCUACGGGGGAAAGCAGGGGAUCUUCGGACCUUGCACUAUUGGAUGAGCCUAAGUCAGAUUAGCUUGUUGGUGGGGUAAUGGCCUACCAAGGCGACGAUCUGUAGCUGGUCUGAGAGGACGAUCAGCCACGCUGGAACUGAGACACGGUCCAGACUCCUACGGGAGGCAGCAGUGGGGAAUAUUGCACAAUGGGCGCAAGCCUGAUGCAGCAAUGCCGCGUGUGUGAAGAAGGCCUGCGGGUUGUAAAGCACUUUCAGUAAGGAGGAAAAGUAUGUAGUUAAUAACUGCAUACCCUGACGUUACUUACAGAAGAAGCACCGGCUAACUCCGUGCCAGCAGCCGCGGUAAUACGGAGGGUGCGAGCGUUAAUCGGAAUUACUGGGCGUAAAGCGUGCGUAGGCGGCAUGGUCAGUCGGAUGUGAAAGCCCCGGGCUUAACCUGGGAAUUGCAUUCGAUACUGCCAAGCUAGAGUAUGUUAGAGGAAAGUGGAAUUCCCGGUGUAGCGGUGAAAUGCGUAGAUAUCGGGAGGAACAUCAGUGGCGAAAGCGACUUUCUGGAUCAUACUGACGCUGAGUACGAAGCGUGGGGGAGCAACAGGAUUAGAUACCCUGGUAGUCCACGCCCUAAACGAUGUCAACUAGCCGUUUGGAGGAAAUUU